GGAAGGUUGAGCGCACUUCUGCACAGAACAGACGAGCAGAAAUCCGAAAUUUCGCUGGAAUUUUGAACUCAUGCGACCAUGGAUGAAGAUCCUUCACACUCUGUCACAGAAGAUGAAAGUGUCACUGUGAAAUUUCAAGCAACUCAUGUGAUCAUGGGUGACAUAGACGAAGAAACUAUCAUCACAGACAAAGUCAAAGAAGAAGAAAUUGUCACUGUGGAAAGUCCAGCAACUCCGGGGAAACGUGGAUGAAGAACCUGUCAUUCACAAGAGAUACUGUCACUGGAAAAAGGAAAUUGUCACGGUGGAAGGUCAACCAACUCCCGGGAUCAUGGAUGAACAACCUAUCAUCACAGAUACUGUGACUGAAAAAGAAAUUGCCCCUGUGGAAAGUCAAGUAAGGUCAUCAAAAUCCAAGGGCACCAUGUGUUAUGCAUGGGAAUGCUACAACUACAAGAAUUCUCACAGCAAAGCCAGAGGGAUAUCCUUCCAUAAGUUCCCAAACCCUGAAAUACAGUGGGAGAGGUACAACGCCUGAAGAAGAGAUGCCAUCGAGACCCUGGGCCGAGCAGCCUGCUGUGCAGCGAACACUUUGAGGAAGAAAUUGUUGACAGAACCGGCAAACUACAAGACUCCGACCAGGGGCAGUGCCCACUAAGUUCAUCCUCCCACCUCAUC